rnacentral:rRNA from 1 species
AACGAACGCUGGCGGCAUGCCUAACACAUGCAAGUCGAGCGAGACCUCCGGGUGCAGUGGCGUACGGGUGUGUAACGGGUGGGAACAUGAACUUAGGGUCGGAAUAACUAAGAGAAAUUUGAGAUAAUACCGGAUGAUAGCUAAGGACGCAAGAUUUAUUGAAUUGAAAUGGGCCCGAGUGGGAUUAGCUAGUUGGGAGGGUAAAGGCCUCCCAAGGCGACGAUCAGUAACUGGUCUGUGAGGAUGAUCAGCCACUCUGGGACUGAGACACGGCCCAGACUCCUACGGGAGGCAGCAGUGGGGAAUAUUGGACCAUGGGCGAAAGCCUGAUCCACCAAUGCCGCUUGAGUUAUGAAGGCCUUAGGGUUGUAAAGCUCUUUUACCCGAGAUGAUAAUGACGGUAUCGGAAGAAUAAGCCCCGGCUAACUCCGUG